CUGUUUUAUCAAAAACAUGUCCUUUUGUGUUUAUUAAAGGUUUGGCCUGCUCAAUGAUUUUUUUAAAUAGCCGCGGUAUAUUAACCGUGCUAAGGUAGCAUAGUAAUUAGUCUUUUAAUUGAGGUCUGGAAUGAAUGGUUAGACGAGAAAUUAGCUUUAUUAAUUUAAUUUUUUUGAAUUUUAGUUUUUGGUUAAAAUUCCAAAAUUUUUAAGAGGGACGAUAAGACCCUAUAGAUCUUUAAAAAUUUUUUUUUAUUAAAUUUUUAGUUGUUUUUUUUUGUAGAUUUUAUAUUUUUUUUGUUGGGGUGACAGUUAAAAUUUUAAACUUUAAUUUUUUUUUACAUUCUUAUUUGUAUAUUUUGAUCCUUAUUUUUUGAUUACAAGAAAAAGAUACCUUAGGGAUAACAGCGUUAUUUAUUUGGAGAGUUCUUAUCGAUAAAUAAGUUUGCGACCUCGAUGUUGGAUUAAGGUUAAUCUUUGGGGUAGUUUCUAAAGUAUUAGGUCUGUUCGACCUUUAAAACU
rnacentral:rRNA from 1 species